GGAAUAUUGCGCAAUGGCCGAAAGGCUGACGCAGCGACGCCGCGUGUGGGAGGAAGCUCUUCGGGGUGUAAACCACUGUCAGGAGGGAAGAAACCCGGUCGGGCGAAUAGACCGGCCGGUUGCCGGUACCUCCAAAGGAAGCGCCGGCGAACUCCGUGCCAGCAGCCGCGGUAAGACGGAGGGCGCAAGCGUUGUUCGGAAUUCCUGGGCGUAAAGCGCGGGCAGGCGGUCUGUUAAGUCUGCGGUGAAAUCCCGGGGCUCAACUCCGGAUAUGCCGCGGAUACUGGCGGACUGGAGACUGGUAGAGGCGAGUGGAAUUCCUGGUGUAGAGGUGGAAUGCGUAGAUAUCAGGAAGAACACCGGUGGCGAAGGCGGCUCGCUGGGCCAGUUCUGACGCUCAUCCGCGAAAGCGUGGGGAGCAAAC
rnacentral:rRNA from 1 species